rnacentral:rRNA from 1 species
UGAACGCUGGCGGCGUGCUUAACACAUGCAAGUCGCACGAGAACUCCUUAGCUUGCUAGGGAUAGUAAAGUGGCGCACGGGUGAGUAUCGCGUGGGUAAUCUACCCUCGAAUCUGGGAUAACGUUGCGAAAGCGACGCUAAUACCGGAUAACAUCCUUAUUUCUUCGGCGAUAAGGAUCAAAGGUGGCCUCUACAUGUAAGCUACUGUUUGGGGAUGAGCCCGCGUACCAUUAGCUUGUUGGUAGGGUAAUGGCCUACCAAGGCUACGAUGGUUAGCUGGUCUGAGAGGAUGAUCAGCCACACUGGAACUGACACACGGUCCAGACUCCUACGGGAGGCAGCAGUGAGGAAUUUUGCGCAAUGGGGGAAACCCUGACGCAGCAACGCCGCGUGAGUGAAGAAGGCUUUCGGGUCGUAAAGCUCUGUCAAGUGGGAAGAACCCGCCUUGUUUUAAUAUAACAAGGCGCUGACGGUACCACUGAAGGAAGCACCGGCUAACUCC